UUAGCUCUCUUUGCCUUUUGGCUUAGAUCAAGUGUAGUAUCUGUUCUUUUCAGUUUAAUCUCUGAAAGGCCUCUAAGGAGGCUAAUCGUGAUUAUUCUUAUUUUUGGCAAACGAGUUGGACCCCCUGCGCCUAGCGCAUGGUCCAUCUCACAGUGUCCCCGGUAUUACACUGCCUCCGGGUGAUGCGAACAUCU
rnacentral:snRNA from 1 species